rnacentral:lncRNA from 1 species
UUUAGUGGCAUUCUCAUCUUUGUUGAGUGAAGCUUUAAUAUGUUUGAGUCCUUCUUCAAAGUUGCUUCACUUCCACCUUGGUAGUCUCACUGUCACUGAGACUUGUUCUAUUGAUCUUUGGUGGAACUCGUAGAGUCAACAAUAGCAUUCACCAACUCAACGAUUCUGCAACUUUACAAUCAUCAACAACUCUUAAUCUUUGAA